CCUACGGGUGGCUGCAGUGGGGAAUAUUGGACAAUGGGCGCAAGCCUGAUCCAGCAAUGCCGCGUGUGUGAAGAAGGCCUUCGGGUUGUAAAGCACUUUUAUCAGGCGCGAAAUACUACCGGCUAAUACCCGGUGGGGCUGACGGUACCUGAGGAAUAAGCACCGGCUAACUUCGUGCCAGCAGCCGCGGUAAUACGCAGGGUGCAAGCGGUAAUCGGAAUUACUGGGGGUAGAGCGUUAAUAGGCGGGUGAAAUCCCCGGGCUCAACCUGGGAAUGGCAGUGGAUACUGGCAAGCUAGAGUGUGUCAGAGGAUGGUGGAAUUCCCGGUGUAGCGGUGAAAUGCGUAGAGAUCGGGAGGAACAUCAGUGGCGAAGGCGGCCAUCUGGGACAACACUGACGCUGAGGCACGAAAGCGUGGGGAGCAAACAGGAUUAGAUACCCGAGUAGUC
rnacentral:rRNA from 1 species